AGAGUUUGAUCAUGGCUCAGAUUGAACGCUGGCGGAAUGCUUUACACAUGCAAGUCGAACGGCAGCACGGGAGCUUGCUCCUGGUGGCGAGUGGCGAACGGGUGAGUAAUAUAUCGGAACGUAUCCAAUAAUGGGGGAUAACUAGUCGAAAGAUUAGCUAAUACCGCAUACGCCCUGAGGGGGAAAGCUGGGGAUCUUCGGACCUAGCGUUAAUGGAGCGGCCGAUAUCUGAUUAGCUAGUAGGUGAGGUAAAGGCUCACCUAGGCGACGAUCAGUAGCUGGUCUGAGAGGACGACCAGCCACACUGGAACUGAGACACGGUCCAGACUCCUACGGGAGGCAGCAGUGGGGAAUUUUGGACAAUGGGGGCAACCCUGAUCCAGCCAUUCCGCGUGAGUGAAGAAGGCCUUCGGGUUGUAAAGCUCUUUCGCAAGGGAAGAAAACUUAGUCUCUAACAUAGACUGAGGUUGACGGUACCUUGAUAAGAAGCACCGGCUAACUACGUGCCAGCAGCCGCGGUAAUACGUAGGGUGCGAGCGUUAAUCGGAAUUACUGGGCGUAAAGCGUGCGCAGGCGGCCUGAUAAGUCAGAUGUGAAAUCCCCGAGCUCAACUUGGGAACUGCGUUUGAAACUAUCAAGCUAGAAUAUGUCAGAGGGGGGUAGAAUUCCACGUGUAGCAGUGAAAUGCGUAGAGAUGUGGAGGAAUACCAAUGGCGAAGGCAGCCC
rnacentral:rRNA from 1 species